UCAGCUGCCUUGGCGGAGGUCUGUGCUCUCCGAGUGCUCUAGUUGUAUAUAUGUACACGUGUGUGUGCUAUUACACAUCAUGUUAUGUUCAUGUUAGAUACACGAUGUGAUCAUAUAGUCGACUUUCCUUAGGCAUGCAGUCAUUGAUGAUAAUAUCAAACGAUUCAGAUAUUUUCCUCAUUCUCAUGUUUAAACUUACAGGAUUUUAUUGAAACACAACUAACCUCUGCACAGUUGUCGUCUGGUAGCUUAUUAUCUCUAUAAAAAGCAGUAUUAAGUGGCAAAUUCUUUGGAUCGAAGUGGCACAAAUACAUAAGGGACAGUGAAUGGAACAUGACAUUUGUAUUUUCUAUAAUUGUUGAGCAAUUCAUAGAAGCUGGCAUAUAUGUCUGCUAGUCUUUUAUAAUCAUGAAUUCACCAAUCGGUAGAAGAACCCUGGAUCUGGUAUGAAACGGUCAUACCAUGUCGUGUAUACAUGUAAGGACUACCCGUAAUAUUUUACGAAUUAUGAAUGAAGCGUGUUAUGAACACCAUCACGAUUACGUGUUUACGCUUUUACUAGCACUUAGCCUGGAGCACCGUUUUAAUUGUCAAUUGGCUCAAAAUGUUGUAAGCUGAAGAGUGAGUUAUUAUAUCGUUUGACUGUUAAGCCACCAACUGUUUUAUUACAU